AGUCGAACUCGAACAUGACGUUUGCAGCCCAGAGCCACAGCCUUAGGCUUAUCUCCCGCCCUUUCCAACCCACUUCUCCCGCUUCUUCUCUCCUAUAAAGUCACAGAAGCCCUUCAAACCAACAUUCUCUCUCUCUCUCUCUCUCUCUCUCUCCACAGGCACAUACAUAUAUACCUCUGUAUAAUCACGCUCGUAUAGGCGUAUACAGUGCUACAAAGAAAGUUUUUCGCGCUUGUACUGUUCUACCACAAUGCAGUUUGAUAGUCGUGACUCUGGUGGUGUAAAUUUGGAAAGGUUUGUCUUCUCCGUGGGGGAAGCUUUGGUGGUGGGCACUCUGGAGAUUGCUUUAGUUGCAGAAAAUUGCCUAUUUUGGCUCCUAUCGGCAAUAGGAUCGCUACCAAAUGAUUUUUUUGCAGAAGUGUGGCAAAAUGAUCAGAGGUUUCCAAUUAACGGAGCGAGAGAGCCUGACAUUGAAAAUGAUGAUGCUGGUAAAACGGAGGAUGGUACUGUUAAAGAUCAAUGUGAUCAUGAUGACGAGAACAAUGCCGAUAUGACUGAGCAAGAUGGGAGUUAUGAUGGUGAUGAGGAUUCCGAGAAUGAGGAUGAUAAUGAUGAUAGUGGCGAUCCGAAUGGUGAAAGAGGAAGUAGUGAUGGAGAUGAGGGUGACGAUGAUGACGAGGAUGAUGGGUGCUCGGAAGAUGACUACGAUGAAGAGGAUGGAGAAGAAUACGAAGAGGAUGAGGAGGGAGAAGGCAUACCCAACAGACAUUCUAAGAAGCACAAGUCAGUGGAUGGUUACAGUGAUGAUACAACAGGUUCUGAAUAUGAUGAUGAUACUGAUGAUGACCCUGGCUAUGGUUCUUUGCUGAGGCAUGCAAGAGAAGUCUACGCAGUAACCAGUUAUUGCCUAUUUGAAAGUGAGUACAAGAAGACGAAAACUCUGUCUGUUGAUGUCACCGAUGAGGAAAGGUUCGUCUUUGACUACAAAGUUCGAAAGGAUGGGCAAUUGUUUAGAGAAUACAAAGUUACUGCAGCGCCAUUUGAUGGCCUGAUAAAUUGUAGUUGCAAGUACUUUGAUCUAGUUGGAAUCUUGUGCUGUCAUGCACUAAUAGUUCUUGGAUGCUUGCGGAUUGAGAAGAUUCCGGAGCGAUAUAUACUGAAGUGGCGGAGGAAAAAUGGAAAGGGUGGUACUGGAGAAGAAACUCAGAGUCUCACAGACAACUACAAGGGACAUGGAUCGUCUUCAGAUUUCAUCCAUCAUAGUCGGUUAAUGGAUACUGGCAUUUUUCAUCCAGUCCAUUCUAAAGAUGACUUGGACAUGCUUACUAAACAUGUUGAUGCCCGUAUAUUGAGGCGUCCUUUGGAAAUGCCUAUUGAUGCCCGUCUAUUGAGCCGUGGAUUUUUCUCUUAUAUGCGAAGUGGUACAAUGUCGCAAGAGGAAAAUAAAAGAUUGGAACAUCUAUCUGUUGACCCUGUCCAUAUGGAUUUGGAAGAAAGAGAGCCUAUGGACUCAAGAUACCACGUUGAUGCCCCUCUCCUAAGGCAUGCAAGGGACAUUUAUAUGCCCAAUAUCUAUCGUAAGUUUCGAGAAGAACAUAGAGAAUCAGAAUAUCUAGAUGUUUUUAUUAAGAAUGACACUUUUGAUGAUCAUGGGCUAGCUUUUGAUUUUGAAGUACUAAAGCCUGGACAAUCCAUAUGCCAUAAAGUUCAUGCGGAACCAGAUGAUGGGGGUGUGAAGUGUAGUUGCAAAGGGUUUGAGAAAAAAGGUAUAUUAUGUCGUCAUGCACUAUCUGUCAUGGACCGAUUAUUUAUAGAGAGGAUCCCAGCUAAAUAUAUCUUAGAUAAGUUCGCGAAAAAUCCAGGGGUUGGCAUGGCAGAAGAUAUUCAUGGAGAAAAAUACUCUGAAUUGCAACGCUUCGUCCGGUGGAAAACUUUGAAUACCAUGUAUGAUAGAAUUGCACAAAAAGCUGCUAAAUCUGAUGCUACUCAAACUAUAUUUCUUGAGCAUAUGGAAAAACUACGAGUCAUGUUGGGAUGCUCGUCAGAUGAGGCCAAUGAAGCCUCCAUGAAUGCAUGUGCAGGGGAAGGUGAUAGGGAUAUGAACGGUCUGGGGAGCAGAAAUGCUAUUGAGGACAAGGCAAUGAAGAAAGCUAAGGGCUUGAAUUAUGGUCAAAAUCUUAUGCAACCCAAUGCUGAGGAAUUGGAGGCAAAAUGGGGUCAGCAAUCUGCCACUAGUGGUCAUAUUUCUCAGCCUGAAUAAUGGUGCAGCACUGGUGAAACUUUCAGCCUGUUUCACUUUCAGGUAACAAUGGUGCAGCAUGGAAGCAUCAGAUCAAAGUAAGACUGGCUGAGUCCGGUUCUGCAUGUAUCUUACCCAAAUAUAUUUAGCAGGUAUGUAUCUUUCUAACUAAAUUCUCACAUAUUGUUUUCAGGUUGGCAGCAGUCUUUCCGGGUUCUAUCUUUCCAAUUUUUUGAAGCAACAUGACAACGCCGGUUGAACUGUCUAGGUUUUUUUUUCCCCUUGGUACUGAAUGCAGGUCCUUUUGAAGAAAAUGAGAGCUUUUUGAUAGUUAUGCAUGUUAUUCAGGUUUUGCAUUUUGAUGUAGUGAACUUGCAGAAUAUUGUAUAUAUGCUAUCAUGGAUUACUGAAUGCUGCAGAUAUCAAUGAUGAUCGUUCUUCACUUGUGCA